GACGAACGCUGGCGGCGGGCUUAACACAUGCAAGUCGAACGGAAAGGCCCUGCUUUUUUGGGGUUCUCGAGUGGCGAACGGGUGAGUAACACGUGAGUAACCUGCCCUUGUCUUUGGGAUAACUUCAGGAAACUGGGGCUAAUACCAUAUCGCAUCUCCUGCUGCAUGGUGGGGAUGGGAAAGUUUCGGCGGUCGGGGAUGGACGCGCGGCUUAUGAGCUAGUUGGUUGGGUAGUGGCUUACCCAGGCUGUGACGGGUAGCCGGCAUGAGAGGGUGAACGGCGACAUUGGGACUAAGAGACGGAGCAGACGCCUACGGGGGACAGCAGGGGGGAGUAUUGCACAAUGAGAGGAAGCCUGAGGCAGCGACGCCGCGUGUGUGAUGACGGCUUUCGGGGUGUAAACCGCUUUCGCCUGUGACGCAGCGGGAGUGACGGUAAUGGAUAAAGAAGCGCCGGCUAACUACGUG
rnacentral:rRNA from 1 species